rnacentral:rRNA from 1 species
CAGGCCUAACACAUGCAAGUCGAACGAGGUUUGGUCAGUUUGCGGUGGUGCUUGCAUCACCAAUUACCGAUCAAACCGAGUGGCGGACGGAUGAGUAACACGUGGGUAACCUGCCCUUCAGCAGGGGAUAACAUUUGGAAACAGAUGCUAAUACCGUAUAACCACGGAGACCGCAUGGUCUCCGGGUAAAAGAUGGCGCAAGCUAUCACUGAAGGAUGGACCCGCGGCGUAUUAGCCAGUUGGUGGGGUAACGGCCUACCAAAGCGAUGAUACGUAGCCGACCUGAGAGGGUAAUCGGCCACAUUGGGACUGAGACACGGCCCAAACUCCUACGGGAGGCAGCAGUAGGGAAUCUUCCACAAUGGACGCAAGUCUGAUGGAGCAACGCCGCGUGAGUGAAGAAGGCUUUCGGGUCGUAAAACUCUGUUAUUGAAGAAGAACGUGUGUGACAGUAACUGGUCAUGCAGUGACGGUAUUCAAUCAGAAAGUCACGGCUAACUACGUGCCAGCAGCCGCGGUAAU